GGGGGUGAGAUGAGAUGGGAAACACAAGAGAAAAGAGAGGUGGGUAACAGGGAAUAGGAAAGAGAGACAAGAUGAAAGAUCGAUUAGAAGGGGACUUCUACUUUUCAAGAUUCCCAGUAGCAGUGGCCUGAGGUUAACGGCAGCGGGCAGUAGGAGGAUGAAGAUGAUCGAGUCUCUGAAAGUUUGCUACGAAGAAAUGAAAAACGGGUGGAUAAAGGAGAAGGUAAAGGGAUGUAUGGUCAAAAUCACUCAUGUGAAGAGGGAUCCAAAUCAGUGCUAAUUCCUGAGAAUGGGCCAGAAGAAGCAGUUAAAAAACAGGACUUGGGAUAUGUUGGGGACAACAAUAAUU
rnacentral:lncRNA from 1 species